AGGGGGCAAGCGUUGUCCGGAUUUACUGGGCGUAAAGAGCGUGUAGGCGGCCACGCAGGUCCGUUGUGAAAACUGGAGGCUCAACCUCCAGCUGUUGACGGAAACCGUAUGGCUAGAGUCCGGAAGAGGAGAGUGGAAUUCCUGGUGUAGCGGUGAAAUGCGCAGAUAUCAGGAAGAACACCAAUGGCGAAGGCAGCUCUCUGGGACGGUACUGACGCUGAGACGCGAAAGCGUGGGGAGUGAACAGG
rnacentral:rRNA from 1 species